GACGAACGCUGGCGGCGUGCUUAACACAUGCAAGUCGAACGGAGAGGCCCUGCUUUUGUGGGGUGCUCGAGUGGCGAACGGGUGAGUAACACGUGAGUAACCUGCCCUUGACUUUGGGAUAACUUCAGGAAACUGGGGCUAAUACCGGAUAGGAGCUCCUGCUGCAUGGUGGGGGUUGGAAAGUUUCGGCGGUUGGGGAUGGACUCGCGGCUUAUCAGCUUGUUGGUGGGGUAGUGGCUUACCAAGGCUUUGACGGGUAGCCGGCCUGAGAGGGUGACCGGCCACAUUGGGACUGAGAUACGGCCCAGACUCCUACGGGAGGCAGCAGUGGGGAAUAUUGCACAAUGGGCGGAAGCCUGAUGCAGCAACGCCGCGUGCGGGAUGACGGCCUUCGGGUUGUAAACCGCUUUCGCCUGUGACGAAGCGUGAGUGACGGUAAUGGGUAAAGAAGCACCGGCUAACUACGUGCCAGCAGCCGCGGUGAUACGUAGGGUGCGAGCGUUGUCCGGAUUUAUUGGGCGUAAAGGGCUCGUAGGUGGUUGAUCGCGUCGGAAGUGUAAUCUUGGGGCUUAACCCUGAGCGUGCUUUCGAUACGGGUUGACUUGAGGAAGGUAGGGGAGAAUGGAAUUCCUGGUGGAGCGGUGGAAUGCGCAGAUAUCAGGAGGAACACCAGUGGCGAAGGCGGUUCUCUGGGCCUUUCCUGACGCUGAGGAGCGAAAGCGUGGGGAGCGAACAGGCUUAGAUACCCUGGUAGUCCACGCUGUAAACGGUGGGUACUAGGUGUGGGGUCCAUUCCACGGGUUCCGUGCCGUAGCUAACGCUUUAAGUACCCCGCCUGGGGAGUACGGCCGCAAGGCUAAAGCUCAAAGGAAUUGACGAGGCCCCGCACAAGCGGCGGAGCAUGCGGAUUAAUUCGAUGCAACGCGUAGAACCUUACCUGGGUUUGACAUGGAUCGGGAGCGCUCAGAGAUGGGUGUGCCUCUUUUGGGGUCGGUUCACAGGUGGUGCAUGGCUGUCGUCAGCUCGUGUCGUGAGAUGUUGGGUUAAGUCCCGCAACGAGCGCAACCCUUGUUCACUGUUGCCAGCACGUUAUGGUGGGGACUCAGUGGAGACCGCCGGGGUCAACUCGGAGGAAGGUGGGGAUGACGUCAAGUCAUCAUGCCCCUUAUGUCCAGGGCUUCACGCAUGCUACAAUGGCUGGUACAGAGAGUGGCGAGCCUGUGAGGGUGAGCGAAUCUCGGAAAGCCGGUCUCAGUUCGGAUUGGGGUCUGCAACUCGACCUCAUGAAGUCGGAGUCGCUAGUAAUCGCAGAUCAGCAACGCUGCGGUGAAUACGUUCCCGGGGCU
rnacentral:rRNA from 1 species